CGGAAUUUCUGACCAUAUUUUCGUGGUUGUUUCUAUUAAUUCGGCUUUAUUGUUAAAGGAGUGACUUAUCACCAAAAUUAUAAAACGAUUCGAUGAAUAUGGAACUGUUAAAACGGCACCACGAACUGGCAGACCGCGAAAAACAGAUGAAAAACUAGAUCGUCGAAUUGCAAGAUUUUCUAGGUCGAGUCCAUUUUACACUGUUUUUGAAAUUAAAAAUCAACUGUGCCUGGAAAACAUUGAGCAUGCAAGAAACUACUUGUGUCGAAGAAAAAUAGAGCAGCUCGGUUGGAAUUUGUUAUUGAACACCUUAAUUGAACUACUACCGAGUGGUCAAAAAUUGUAUGGAGCAAUGAGAGUGCGCUAAACCGGUUUGGAAACGACUCUAAAAAUAAUGUGCGACACCCUACUGGACAACGAUUUCAUGUUAAAUACCUAAAACCGACGGUAAAAUUUGGUGACGGCAAUGUAACGGUGCGAGGUUGUUUCUCGCGUAACGUUUAGUACAAAUAAAAGAAACAAUGGAUAGAA